rnacentral:rRNA from 1 species
AGUGAACGCUGGCGGUAGGCCUAACACAUGCAAGUCGAACGGCAGCACAGUAAGAGCUUGCUCUUACGGGUGGCGAGUGGCGGACGGGUGAGGAAUACAUCGGAAUCUACUUUUUCGUGGGGGAUAACGUAGGGAAACUUACGCUAAUACCGCAUACGACCUACGGGUGAAAGCAGGGGAUCUUCGGACCUUGCGCGAUUGAAUGAGCCGAUGUCGGCUUAGCUAGUUGGCGGGGUAAAGGCCCACCAAGGCGACGAUCCGUAGCUGGUCUGAGAGGAUGAUCAGCCACACUGGAACUGAGACACGGUCCCGACUCCGACGGGAGGAAGCAGUGGGGAAUAUUGGACGAUGGGCGCAAGCCUGAUCCAGCCAUACCGCGUGGGUGAUGAAGGCCUUCGGGUGUUAAAGCGCUUUUGUUGGGAGAGAAAUGCAGCAGGUUAAUACCCCGCGGUUCUGACGGUACCCAAAGAAUAAGCACCGGCUAACUUCGUG